CAUUUCCAGUUGAACAAAGGCAACACCAGUGCAGAGACAGGCCUUCUCUUCUUCCUUGUUUUCCCUGUUCCUAGCAUGCUGAGGAUGGUCAGUAAGUAUGCUCAAUGAUCGAAUGAAUGAAUGGAUGAAUGAAUGAAUGAAUUCCAGGCCCUAAACUUUCUGUUCUCCCUAUACUGGGAGGCCCAUGUGUUGAUAUGUGUUGUCCAGCUAGUGGUUCUAUUUUGGGAGGGCCUAGAAACAUUAAAAGGUGAGGUCUAACAGGAGGAAGUCGGUAGCCAGGGUGUGUCAAGGGCUGUGUCCUGCCCUGGGGGUUCUCUUGUCUGUUUCUCUCUUUCCUUCUGCUUCCUAGCUACCCUGUGCUGAAGAAACUUCUCCUAUGCACUCAGACGGCCUCCGUGUUCUGCCUCACAACGGGCCCAGAAACACAAGCCAGGUAGCCAUGAACUGAACUCACUGGAACCACAAGCUGAGAUAGACCCUUUCUCAAGCUGUUCUCUCAAAUGAGUCCGGGUUGCAGCCAUGUGAAUAUGAGGCUCCUUAAGGGAGAGCUUCUAUUUUCCCAGUGUCCAUAAUAAGCCCCCGCACACAGAAGGCACUUAAUAAAUAUAUUUUUGAAUGCCAAACACACAGGGAAAUAUAACAACCAGUUUAUUUGCCAGCAAAAAAGUAGAAUAAAAGUUUUUGGACAUUUAUAAAUUUGUUGUGAGUUGAGCUAGGCUCAUGUACUAAGACUGUGCUUUCUACUGCCAAUCUGUGUGACAACAUUAACCAUAUCAAGACGUCAUAGGACCUUAGUGUAUAUUCUAGUCACACAGCAGAGCCCAAGCCAAGUGACCAGCUACAUAGUCACUGAUUUAAAAGAGUCCAGAAAUAAGAAGGUAGGGCCCAUCCUGAGCUCACUCCCUGGAUAACUAUGGUAACCACAAUAGUGCUGACAUAUCAUUUUGAAACAGAUCAUGGAUGGCUGCCUCAACAGUUUUGAAAACUCAUGCCUCAAAUCACAGAACCAUAGUUUUCUCCUUUUUAAAAAUUAUAUCUAUUUUGUAUGUAUGGAUGUUUUGCCUGCAUGCAUACCAUAUGUGUGCAGUGUCUUCAGAAGACAGCGUUAGGUCCCCUGGGACUGGAGCUACAGACAGCUGUGGACCUCCAUGUGGCUGGUGGGGAUUGAACUCGGAACCUCUGGAAGUCAGUGCUCAUAACUGCUGAGUCAUCUCUCCAGUACCUCCAUGGUGCGCCCUUGGUAAUAGUUGCAGUCUGGUCUUCUUUAUGAAACAAACAAAAUUAAGGGACUGGGGAGAUGGCUCCAUGGUUAAGAGUUCUUCCUAUUCUUCUAUAGCUCUUUGGCUUUGUAGGAUAUACUGGUCUUUCAGGCAGCUACUGGUGUCUGUACAAUUCUGGAGUCUUGGGAAGGCCUCUCUCUCUACAUGGCUGUGUUGGGCUGUACCUUAGACAGGACACUCUGAUAUCCAUUCCCUGAUGCAGCUCCUCUGCCUGGCCUUGAGGAUAUCUCUGGGGCAUCAUUGGAAACUGAGGUGGAAGGACUCUUGCCCACAGACACUACACUUCCCAUUCAUGGGGAAUGACACUUUGCAGGCAUCCGUGGUGUACCAUUUGGUGGCCAGAGCUGUGCCUUGGACCACAGCUUAAACCUCUGCUUGGGUGGCUACAGAGCCCUGAAUCAUAAUACAGGAAACAGAGCUCAGAAACCAUUUAACCCCCCAGGGCUUAACCACUCUGGUCUGGGAAGGGUCCCAAGAUCUUCAAGAUUUCUUCUGUGUUGUAUCCCCGUGUCCUAAGCAAGUAGCCGAGUGAACCUCCUAUCAGCAGUCCCCUGGCUGGCUCUUCGAUGUUUUCUGAACUUGCUUUUUCUUUCUUUACAAUAUGGAUAGACUGAGAAUGUUCCGGGCUUUUAAAUUCUGCUUCUGUUUUUCUGUUUUUGUUUGUUUGUUUGUUUGUUUUACAUUUUCUACAAGCAGUCAAGAUAGAGUGCCAAACACACAGGACUUUCCUCUCCAUCCGCCAACUGGCCUCAUCAAUGCUCAGAACCUCCGAAAAUGCCAAGACACGAAUGGGCUUUAUAACGGGCUCGCCCUUCCUCUGCUUUCCAGGCUCCUUGUUUCCCAUUUCCAGCUGAGAAGCCACCAGAAUACCCUUUGAUGUUCCUCUUUCCGCUGCUGUCCUGUCCAUUGCCUCUCACGUGGUGUGUGAGAUUUCUCCGUAACUCGUCUCUUCUGAGCCCAUACAGGGAACUUCCCUUUAGGGUCUGUGAACAGUAAUUCAGUUUUUGUCCAACAUGUAUUUCAAAACACUUCCACAUUCUUUGGUAAGCACAGCUCAUCAUUUCUCGGCACCAUAUUUUGUCUGAGUCUCUGGGCAGCCGUAAGAAGGUGACUUAUGUGUGUGUUACUCAGGUUUCUAUCACUGUAACAAAAUACCUGAGCUAAACACUUGUCAAGAUAAAAAGUUUAUUUUGGUUCUCGGUCAUUGGAGGUUCCGGUUCAUGACUGGUUUGACCCAGUUGCUUUAGACCUGAAGGAAAGUGAGCGUACAUCAUAGCGGGAGGGGGGAAGGCUGAAGCAAAGUCAUGCACUAAAUGGCCAAGAGGUGAAGAAAAAAACAAAGGAGUCAGAGGCUCCCUAAUCCAUUUGAUGACACCCUCCCCAGAAUAACCUAAGGAGUUCUCACUUGGCUGCACCACUUAAAGACUACAUCCCCUCCCAAAAGCACCAUCCUGGGGAGCAAGCCUGUAAUACAUACGUAGACCUUUGGGGUACACUCAAAAUAUAGCCCCAGUUACUUUAGGAACAACAGAAAUCUAUUGUUCAACAUCACAGAAGUCAGGGAAUCCAAGAGCAAGGUGUGUCAGACUCAGUGUCUGGUGAGAGUACUCACUCUGCUUCAAAGAUGCUGCCUGUCUGCCUUGCCCUCACAUGCUGGGUGUGGAAGGCAGCUUUCCAGGGCUUCUAUUAUAAGGGCAUUAAUCCCAUUCGUAAGAGCAUAGGUUCUAUGCCUUAACAUUGCCAUUUGGGGGAUGAUAUUUCAACACAUGUAAUCUUGGGCAUACAAACUGUGAGUUAGUAGAACCACUGAACUAGACCACCCCAUGAAUAGGAAAGUUUAUUUUGGAAACCAAACUGCAAGGUUAGAGAACAUCCUCCAGUGAGAAAAGCCUUGUCAGUCUUAAGGGGACAGGGACCCCGGGAGGAGAGUUGCAGGCUUCAGAAGAGCUUGGAAUCUAACAUGGGGGCUUUAUGUAUAGAGGCUGUCCCAGAAUGAGAUGGCCUUGCCUGAGGUAAUUGACCUUGGGUUGGAAAAGAGAAGUGAGUAAUGGCUUUCCUAGUAAAGUUUUGGUUUCUGUUUUCCCAGCAACAACCCUCGGGUUCACCCACUCAGAGCACUUCUGUUAAGAACACUGUCACCAGCACUGCCAUUUGGGGGGAACCCUGCUUUGGACCUAACACAAAUAUUCAGACAAUGUCACAUACAUCACAUAUGUCACAAUGUGCUAUAGGAGAGAUGGGGUGAAAGUGCCAUUUCCACCCUUUCUGGCUGGAGGUGGGCUUUGUCACCAAAGGAACCAGAGGUUACAGCUGCAGACAGGUAAGCGGCUGUGUCACUGUGCCACAAGCCUGCUCUUUGCCAUUUGCUCUGUUUCAGCCACAGUUCCAGAGGUGUUAGAGCGCUGGGUUUAGGCACAGUGCCCGAAUGCUGCAAAUAGCCUUUCUCUUACAGGGCUCUUGAUAAUCCUGAGAUUUAG
rnacentral:lncRNA from 1 species